CAUUUAUAUCUGAACCUUAUCACUUUCGCUUUUUGCAAUUUGUGCUAUGGCCCGUCGCCUAAAACUAGCCAGGCCAGCCCCAUAAAGAAAGCUCUCCGAUUUCAUUAGCAUAACUGGCGUCAUUUCCUUAUCCCCUUAAAAAGAUCUAUCACUCCCCACUUGACCGACCCCCAACUCACGUUCCUACACAAGUUCACAAGCCUUGCAAUUAGCGAAUCAAUCUCACAAAUCUUUCAUCAACACCAUGCCUAACACCAAGAAAAAUGCUAGCAAGGAAGCCACCAAAUUGAGCAAAUUACUGAAGGCGCCCAUUAGGAUUCUUACCAAGGCCAGAGACUUCUACGUGCGGAGCCUGACCGACUGCUCGGGCCACAUCGGGUAUGGCAGCGUCAUGGGCUGCCCGACAGGCCAGAUCAACACCCUGCCCCGGAGCUUCAGCGUCAGCUUGACCGAGUCGGGCAGUGCCAACGCGGACGAGGACUACCGGGAGCUUGUGAGGCUCGCCUCCCUUAGGAGCCUGAGCAGCAGAGUCGGGUCAGACCUCACGAGAACAGAGCAUGUUGCCGGGCAGUCCCCAAUGGCCGCAACGAAUAAUAAGAUGCCGAGGAGUUUCAGCACUGGAAUUGGAAGGAUCGAUGAAGACAAGCCAUGUGAAUUCGGGGAGGACGCGAUGGUGAAGGCGGAUGUGUACACGAGAAGCCGCAGUACGUGCCUGCGAAGAGAACUUCUGGGUUGAUUUGAGACCCAGGAGACAUUGAAGAAGGCGAAAAUGGGGCGGCUUCAAUUUGUCCAUUAUAUAUGUAAAAGUUUGGAGGAGCCAUUAGAAGCUUCUGGAGCUUCUCGUUCGAGGAACCGUGCGGAUCUCACCGGCAAUGCAGGGCACACUUUACUCGCAGCGGCGGCUUGUCCACUACAACCAUAGCCUGAGCGAGCAAGACACAAGCAGCACGGCGAUGAAGGAGACGAUGGCGAGAAAUGCAUCGACGAUGGAAAGCAAAGGGCGAUGAUCAGCUUCAUGGAUCUAAUGGGCUUGUAGUUCUCUUAAAUAGAGAAAGCAUGCACUGCAAACGAUUGAUUUUCUCGGGAAAAUCAGUUCUCGAGGGUUGAAUUUUCUCUCCCUCGGUUGGCUUCAAUAGAUGCAGGCUGCAUUUAGGAAAGACUUUCCCAAGGACUUUUGGACGUCUGAACCCCCUUCGGCCAAAUUGUAGAUGUUUGGAAAGUGUUUAAAAAACUCAUUCAGCAAAAGUCAGCUGUGAGAAGGCUGAAACCCCAAGGUUAACUCGGGUUUUCAGCUUUCUCGACAUGCAAGAAAGUUAGGCUUAGU